rnacentral:rRNA from 1 species
GUAACGCGUAAGUAAUCUAUCCCUGCAUCUGGGAUAACUACGGGAAACUGUAGCUAAUACCGGAUACGUUUAUCUCUUUGCGAAGAGAUAAAGAAAGGUGGCCUCUUCUUGAAAGCUACUGUGCGAGGAGGAGCUUGCGUACCAUUAGCUUGUUGGUGGGGUAAUGGCCUACCAAGGCAACGAUGGUUAGCGGGUCUGAGAGGAUGAUCCGCCACACUGGAACUGGAACACGGACCAGACUCC